rnacentral:rRNA from 1 species
AUUGAACGCUGGCGGCAGGCCUAACACAUGCAAGUCGAACGGUAACAGGGAUCAGCUUGCUGAUUCGCUGACGAGUGGCGGACGGGUGAGUAAUGUCUGGGAAACUGCCUGAUGGAGGGGGAUAACUACUGGAAACGGUAGCUAAUACCGCAUAACGUCGCAAGACCAAAGAGGGGGACCUUCGGGCCUCUUGCCAUCGGAUGUGCCCAGAUGGGAUUAGCUAGUAGGUGGGGUAACGGCUCACCUAGGCGACGAUCCCUAGCUGGUCUGAGAGGAUGACCAGCCACACUGGAACUGAGACACGGUCCAGACUCCUACGGGAGGCAGCAGUGGGGAAUAUUGCACAAUGGGCGCAAGCCUGAUGCAGCCAUGCCGCGUGUAUGAAGAAGGUCUUCGGGUUGUAAAGUACUUUCAGCGGGGAGGAAGGGAGUAAAGUUAAUACCUUGGCUCAUUGACGUUACCCGCAGAAGAAGCACCGGCUAACUCCGUG